UGGAAUCCAUAUAAAUAUUGUGGUAUGUAAUGCUGGUACUCAAUUACUACCUAAACUGAAUUGCAGCACCACUUCGCCCUUCUACUACACUAAAUACACAAGCAGCAUCAAGGUUCAUUAGACACUCACUUUCCCAUCUGACAUCUGAUCAGAAGAGGAGCAUGCAUGAAAUAAGUAGAGGAGAAAGGCGGAGUUGGUCUGGGCAGAAGAGAAAGCCUGAACCUUCAGUAGAAAAGAAAUCUGUUCGUGUUGCUGCAGAAGAGUUCUUUGCAAAGGCUUCUCAGGAACUUAUUGGACAUAGUGAUAGCAGGGUCAAGGGUCCUGUUAUACUCAUUUCUGAUGAAGAUGAGGACUAGAUCAGUAUGUUGUUUUUUGUCAGUUUGUGAAAUAUUUAUACUGCUGAUUUGUCAUUGUUGACUUUGUUCUUACUGCAAAAGCAAUGCUGGACACAACAGGCCUACUUACAUUACAUGCUGAUGUGUACAACAUUGUAACAUACUCAGACAUGAGGACAUAUAUGGCAUAUUGGCCACAAAAUCAUGGUCCAUUGAUCUGUCUUCAUAAAAAUAAAUGGCACUGACAAUCCUUGAUUGGUAAUAUAGAUACUUAUAGAUUAUUGCAAUUUACAGACUCUUGGCAUCAUAAAUUUAAUGAUUGAACAUGUAUACAUUUUUCAUAACGUGCAAUAUGUGAACAUGUAUACAUUUUUCAUGCAAUAUGUGAACAUGUAUACAUUUUCAUGAUUCAGUUACAGUUAAUUUAAUGAUUGAAGUUUUUGUUCCCUUUUGCAUAUAGACUAUUCUUCUGAAAAAAUGAUAGGACACUACUCUGAGGACAUCCUUCGCUUUGACGUAGAUGACGCAUAACCAAUAACCAAUACAGUAAUAUUUGGAAUGGUCAUAAGUCAAACUAGACUUCCCCAGCGACAACGAUUCAACGAACAAGAACCAGGCCAGUAGUUAUGUAGUGCAAAGAUCUACUCCCGGUCCCGGUGAGUUUGAUUAGAAAUCAUGAAUGUUUAGUACCUGGCUCAGUUUUUAUUAGCAGUGUAGUGAGACCGAGAGCAUGAGGCUUCAAAGAGGAAAUUUGUUAAGGCAUAAUAGGUUAUAUUCUUGUUGUCUACUAACAUCAGAUGCAUUCAGUGAACCAGCUUCCAAUGCCUCUUGUACCGCUCAUCGGCAAGGGAGUGCUAUAGGAGGAGGUUAUGGUGAGUUUUGUCGCGACUAACGGUGAGCCCACAACUACAGCCACGUUGAAGCUGGUCUGGUGGAAUCUCUUAGAGCAGAUGACGAUGACGCCGACAUCCUGCACCUCUACGACGCUGUCGACCAGGACGCGGGCCCCUCCGUUGCGCGCUCUACAAGUCUGGAUCCAUCAUCGUGCUCGGUAAGACUGACUUCCUUAGGCCAGACAUGGUACGAUUCUUGCCCCCGUCUUCUUAUCUAUACUGCUUAUCAUUUCUGACCUGGUUCUAUUUGAGGCUAUUUGAGGCAAGGGAAAUUUCACUAACAAUUUACCAUUUAGUGAAUCUAUUUGAGGCUCACUUCAGUCUAAAGCACUCUUAACUAGAUCUUUUCCUUUCCACAAUAGACUGUUUAGAAUGAGCUGCUGCUCCACCAAUUCUUUUGCAGCCUCCUUGCUUGACUCAUGAUGAAAACCAUGACGUAAUAUGCCACAAACCUAAUAGAGUAAACAAAAUCUCCCUCUUUAUAUUGGCCGGCAAAAUUGUGAUCCUAUCAACAUAAAUGAGUUUUUUUUCACUGCACCACAAUUGGCUAUAGUUGCUAGAUGGCAAGAAGACAUAUCUCUGUGGUUUUUUGAGUCCAAUUAUGCCGACUCUAACUAUGUAACUCCAAAAUCUCUCAGGAAGGCACUACAAUGACAGGCGCAAAUAUUGUAGCCUCAUAAGUUACUUGGCUAAAUUUACACAUGCUAAAAUCACUCAAAAGAAUUCACUCAAAAGAAACUGGACUGUUAAACAGCAAGCAAAUCACUCAAAAGAAUUUAGUUUGGGCGUGCCUCUUCUGUUUAUAAUGACUGUUGAGUGAUUUUAGGAUAGCAAUUUAGUAUAGCAUGUCAUUGAGUAAAUGUUGUCUUUUACUAAGAUAAUUUGAGUGAUUUGCUUCCUAUUUAAGAGUCCAGUUUUCAGAAAUAAAGCGCUUUGUGUGUUCAGAAGAAUUACCCAAAAUUUCAGAAAUGAACUCUAUCUUCUGUUUGGGCGUUGCAGUCCAGAGUGAUUUGCCUUGCAUUUUGUUUGUAGACUGACAACUAGGUGUUGUAUUGCAGUAUAACUGCAUUAGCCUUGGACUUAAUCCGGAUAAGAUGGUUGAGAUGGAUAACGCAUGUGGUAGUUGUAUGGACCAUAAAAAUAUUAACAAACAAAGCAAAUAGCUUAUAAACUGAUUUCAUGAAUUAAGAAACAUGAGUCAUGAUCAUGCUUUUUCAUUACCUGUUCUGUAAACUAAAAGGGUCUGUUAAACUAACUGAAAUUGUGCUACGUGGUAUGACUAUUUCUGUUUUAAGUUCCUAUCUUUUAUUAGAGUUCAUUUCUGAAAAUAUUGGUAAUGCUUCUGAACACACAAAGCGCUUCGUUUCUGAAAACUGGACUGUUAAACAACAAGCAAAUCACUCAAAAGAAUUUAGUUUGGGCGUGCCUCUUCUGUUUAUAUUGACUGUUGAGUGAUUUUAGGAUAGAUGUCAUUGAGUAAAGGAACAAACAGCCAUUGUUUUUUUGUUUUUUGCGCAACGGAACAGACUGUCCGAAUACUCAGUUGCUCUGAAUGCUAUCUAUUCUGUUUUUGUUUUUCUUACAGCUCAGUUUUCAUCAUUCUUUGAACUGAUGCAUUGUUGUUUUUUGGUUCCUACAUAAAUAGAAAGGGCCCAUAGGUUAUUGGAUUAUGAGUGAUGAUAACAAAAUAUUCUGUUUUAAAUUCAGGCAGUCAUGCUUUCAAUUAGUGUUUAGAAACAUAUACUAUGUUCAAGUGUAGGGUGUUCAUUUGCUUUUAGUUCUUUAAAACAAAGCGGAAUCAAGGUGUUCAUUUUAAACAUAUAUCUGUAACUAAAAGGGUCUGUUAAACUAACUGAAAUUGUGCUACAUGGUAUGACUAUUUCUGUUUUAAGUUCCUAUCUUUUAUUAGAGUUUAUUUCUGAAAAUUUUGGUAAUGCUUCUGAACACACAAAGUGCUUCAUUGCUGAAAACUGGACUGUUAAACAGCAAGCAAAUCUCCACAUGAAGGUGGUCCUUGUGAUGAAUAUCCGUAGGAUAAUCUGAGGAACUACCUUAUAUUCCAAAGAAACAUACAAUUAGAUAAUAUAUAUUAUCUAGAAGACAAAAAUAAGACGAAAAUGUAAUCAGCAGAAACAAAAAACCAUUGAAGCAUAAAAUUAGUUGGAAACAACAAAUAAAUUAAUAAUAUAUCACAAUUAUCAUGUAGU